AGUGAACGCUGGCGGUAGGCCUAACACAUGCAAGUCGAACGGCAGCACAGUAAGAGCUUGCUCUUACGGGUUGCGAGUGGCGGACGGGUGAGGUAUACAUCGGACUCUACUUUUUCGUGGGGGAUCACGUAGGGAAACUUACGCCAAUACCGCGUACGACCUACGGGUGAGAGCAGGGGAUCUUUGGACCUUGCGCGAUUGAAUGAGCCGCUGUGGGAUUAGCUAGUUGGCGGGGUAAAGGCCCACCCUGGCGGCGAUCCGUAGCUGGUCUGAGAGGAUGAUCAGCCACACUGGAACGGAGACACGGUCCAGAGUCCUACGGGAGGGAGCAGUGGGGAAUAUUGGACAAUGGGCGCAAACCUGAUCCAGCCAGACCGCGUGGGUGAAAGAGGCCUUCGGGUUGUGAAGCCGUUUUGUUGGUAAAGAAAAGCAGCAGGUUAAUACCACGCUGUUCUGACGGUACCCAAAAAAUAAGCACCGGCUAACUUCGUG
rnacentral:rRNA from 1 species